AUUGAACGCUGGCGGCAGGCUUAACACAUGCAAGUCGAGCGGGGGAAGGUAGCUUGCUACCGGACCUAGCGGCGGACGGGUGAGUAAUGCUUAGGAAUCUGCCUAUUAGUGGGGGACAACAUCUCGAAAGGGAUGCUAAUACCGCAUACGUCCUACGGGAGAAAGCAGGGGAUCUUCGGACCUUGCGCUAAUAGAUGAGCCUAAGUCGGAUUAGCUAGUUGGUGGGGUAAAGGCCUACCAAGGCGACGAUCUGUAGCGGGUCUGAGAGGAUGAGCCGCAACACUGGGACUGGGACACGGCCCAGACUCCUACGGGAGGCAGCAGUGGGGAAUAUUGGACAAUGGGGGGAACCCUGAUCCAGCCAUGCCGCGUGUGUGAAGAAGGCCUUAUGGUUGUAAAGCACUUUAAGCGAGGAGGAGGCUACUCUAGUUAAUACCUAGGGAUAGUGGACGUUACUCGCAGAAUAAGCACCGGCUAACUCUGUGCCAGCAGCCGCCGUAA
rnacentral:rRNA from 1 species